CAGUCGCCGCGGGAAUACGGAGGGGGCUAGCGUUGUUCGGAAUUACUGGGCGUAAAGCGCACGUAGGCGGAUUGUUUAGUUAGGCGUGAAAUUCCUGGGCUUAACCUGGGGACUGCGCUUAAUACAGGCAGUCUAGAGUGAGGAAGAGGGUUGUUGAAUUCCCAGUGUAGAGGUGAAAUUCGUAGAUAUUGGGAAGAACACCGGUGGCGAAGGCGGCAACCUGGUCCUUGACUGACGCUGAGGCGCGAAAGCGUGGGGAGCAAACAGGAUUAGAGACCCCGGUAGUCCCUGUCUCUUAUAC
rnacentral:rRNA from 1 species